CCUUGUCGUGAAUCUUGGUCGAUGCGUUUAUGUUACCCGCUUUGAUUGUAAAGGCCGACAUAUAUCAUAAUUGAAACUGCGCACAGGAGAUUUCAGAAAUUUUUCAGUUUCUUCUGUAUGUGCUAAAAAACAGUA
rnacentral:snoRNA from 1 species